CCUAGUUUUCGUUCGUUUACAAAAUGUACCUAAUACAAAAUAUAGGACAUUUGAGAUCAUUCUAGGAUCGAUAAAAUUAAAAUGAGAUUACAAUAAUAAGGAAGGCAAAUGGCGUGCUAGGUGCAAUAGAAAUUAAACGAUGUUGGAAUAUCAGUAUUAAAUCCUAGGUUUCGUUCGUUUACAAAAUGUACCUAAUGCAAAAUAUAGGACAUUUGAGAUCGUUCUAGGAUCGAUGAAUUUAAAAUGAGAUUAGAAUAAUAAUGAGGGCAAAUGGCGUGCUAGGUGCAAUAGAAAUUAAACGAUGUUGGAGUACCUAUCAGUAUUAAAUCCUAGGUUUCGUUCGUUUACAAAAUGUACCUGAGAUUAGAACAAUAAUGAGGGCAAAUGGCGUACUAGGUGCAAUAGAAAUGAAACGAUGUUGGAGUACCUAUCAGUAUUAAAUCAUAGUUUUCGUUCCUUUACAAAAUGUACCUGAGAUUAGAAUAAUAAUGAAGGAAAAUGGCGUGCUAGGUGCAAUAGAAAUUAAACGAUGUUGGAAUAUCAGUAUUAAAUCCUAGUUUUCGUUCGUUUACAAAAUGUACCUAAUGCAAAAUAUAGGACAUUUGAGAUCAUUCUAGGAUCGAUGAAAUUAAAAUGACAUUACAAUAAUAAUGAAAGCAAAAGGCGUGCUAGGUGCAAUAGAAAUUAAACGAUGUUGGAGUACCUAUCAGUAUUAAAUCCUAGGUUUCGUUCGUUUACAAAAUGAACCUAAAAAAAAAUAUAUAGGACAGUUGAGAUCGUUCUAGGAUCGAUGAAAUUAAAAUGAGAUUAAAAUAACAAUGAAGGCAAAUGGCGUGCUAGGUGCAAUAGAAAUUAAACAAUGUUGGAAUAUCAGUAUUAAAUCCUAGGUUUCGUUCGUUUACAAAAUGUAACUAAUGCAAAUUAUAGGACAUUUAAAAUCAUUCUAGGAUCGAUGAAAUUAAAAUGAGAUUACAAUAAUAAUGAAAGCAAACGGCGUGCUAGGUGCAAUAGAAAUUAAACGAUGUUGGAAUAUCAGUAUUAAAUCCUAGGUUUCGUGCGUUUACAAAAUGUACCUAA